rnacentral:rRNA from 2 species
AGAGUUUGAUCAUGGCUCAGAUUGAACGCUGGCGGCAGGCCUAACACAUGCAAGUCGAACGGUAACAGGAAGCAGCUUGCUGCUUUGCUGACGAGUGGCGGACGGGUGAGUAAUGUCUGGGAAACUGCCUGAUGGAGGGGGAUAACUACUGGAAACGGUAGCUAAUACCGCAUAACGUCGCAAGACCAAAGAGGGGGACCUUCGGGCCUCUUGCCAUCGGAUGUGCCCAGAUGGGAUUAGCUAGUAGGUGGGGUAACGGCUCACCUAGGCGACGAUCCCUAGCUGGUCUGAGAGGAUGACCAGCCACACUGGAACUGAGACACGGUCCAGACUCCUACGGGAGGCAGCAGUGGGGAAUAUUGCACAAUGGGCGCAAGCCUGAUGCAGCCAUGCCGCGUGUAUGAAGAAGGCCUUCGGGUUGUAAAGUACUUUCAGCGGGGAGGAAGGCGACAAGGUUAAUAACCUUGUCGAUUGACGUUACCCGCAGAAGAAGCACCGGCUAACUCCGUGCCAGCAGCCGCGGUAAUACGGAGGGUGCAAGCGUUAAUCGGAAUUACUGGGCGUAAAGCGCACGCAGGCGGUCUGUCAAGUCGGAUGUGAAAUCCCCGGGCUCAACCUGGGAACUGCAUUCGAAACUGGCAGGCUAGAGUCUUGUAGAGGGGGGUAGAAUUCCAGGUGUAGCGGUGAAAUGCGUAGAGAUCUGGAGGAAUACCGGUGGCGAAGGCGGCCCCCUGGACAAAGACUGACGCUCAGGUGCGAAAGCGUGGGGAGCAAACAGGAUUAGAUACCCUGGUAGUCCACGCCGUAAACGAUGUCGACUUGGAGGUUGUGCCCUUGAGGCGUGGCUUCCGGAGCUAACGCGUUAAGUCGACCGCCUGGGGAGUACGGCCGCAAGGUUAAAACUCAAAUGAAUUGACGGGGGCCCGCACAAGCGGUGGAGCAUGUGGUUUAAUUCGAUGCAACGCGAAGAACCUUACCUACUCUUGACAUCCAGAGAACUUAGCAGAGAUGCUUUGGUGCCUUCGGGAACUCUGAGACAGGUGCUGCAUGGCUGUCGUCAGCUCGUGUUGUGAAAUGUUGGGUUAAGUCCCGCAACGAGCGCAACCCUUAUCCUUUGUUGCCAGCGGUUAGGCCGGGAACUCAAAGGAGACUGCCAGUGAUAAACUGGAGGAAGGUGGGGGAUGACGUCAAGUCAUCAUGGCCCUUACGAGUAGGGCUACACACGUGCUACAAUGGCGCAUACAAAGAGAAGCGACCUCGCGAGAGCAAGCGGACCUCAUAAAGUGCGUCGUAGUCCGGAUUGGAGUCUGCAACUCGACUCCAUGAAGUCGGAAUCGCUAGUAAUCGUGGAUCAGAAUGCCACGGUGAAUACGUUCCCGGGCCUUGUACACACCGCCCGUCACACCAUGGGAGUGGGUUGCAAAAGAAGUAGGUAGCUUAACCUUCGGGAGGGCGCUUACCACUUUGUGAUUCAUGACUGGGGUGAAGUCGUAACAAGGUAACCGUAGGGGAACCUGCGGUUGGAUCACCU